GCCAGAGGGGGCAAGCGUUGCUCGGAAUCACUGGGCGUAAAGGGCGCGUAGGCGGGUUGGCAAGUCAGUCGUGAAAUCUCUCGGCUCAACCGAGAAACGUCGGCUGAUAUUGCCGUUCUUGAGGGAUGCAGAGGAGACUGGAAUUCCCGGUGUAGCGGUGAAAUGUGUAGAGAUCGGGAGGAACACCGGUGGCGAAGGCGGGUCUCUGGGCAUCUCCUGACGCUGAGGCGCGAAAGCGUGGGGAGCAAACGGG
rnacentral:rRNA from 1 species